rnacentral:rRNA from 1 species
GUUGUAUGGUUAAGUGACUAAGCGUACACGGUGGAUGCCUGGGCAGUCAGAGGCGAUGAAGGACGUGCUAACCUGCGAUAAGCCAAGAGAAGAUGGUAAGAAUCACUAUACUCUUGGAUUU